rnacentral:rRNA from 1 species
UACGUAGGGCGCAAGCGUUGUCCGGAAUUAUUGGGCGUAAAGAGCUCGUAGGCGGUCUGUCGCGUCGGCUGUGAAAACCCGAGGCUCAACCUCGGGCCUGCAGUCGAUACGGGCAAACUAGAGUACUGCAGGGGAGACUGGAAUUCCUGGUGUAGCGGUGAAAUGCGCAGAUAUCAGGAGGAACACCGGUGGCGAAGGCGGGUCUCUGGGCAGUAACUGACGCUGGAGGAGCGAAAGCGUGGGGAGCGAACAGG